rfam:Gossypium arboreum cultivar AKA8401 contig_6275_1, whole genome shotgun sequence.
UGUUAAAAGUUUCAUCCAUUUCUACUAUUAAAAAUUGGCGUAGUUGAUGGAAUAACUAGACAAUUACACAUGACAUGCCACACGCACCUCAUGCUGACAUAUAGUGACCAGUUUUUAAUAGUAGGAUCAGUUUGCUCUUACA